rnacentral:rRNA from 1 species
AUUGAACGCUGGCGGCGGGCCUAACACAUGCAAGUCGAACGUGCGGCGGACAGGUGAGUAAUGUCUGGGAAACUGCCUGCUGGAGGGGGGUAACUACUGGAGACGGUAGCUAAUACCGCAUACCAUCAGAUGUGCCCAGAGGGGAUUAGCUAGUGGGUGGGGUAACGGCUCACCUAGGCGACGAUCCCUAGCUGGUCUGCGAGGAUGACCAGCCACACGGGAACUGAGACACGGCCCAGACUCCUACGGGAGGCAGCAGUGGGGAAUAUUGGACAAUGGGCGCAAGCCUGAUGAAGCCAUGCCGCGGGUGGGAAGAAGGCCUUAGGGUUUUAAAGCACUUUCAGCGGGGAGGCGUUACCCGAAGAAGAAGCACCGGCUAACUCCGUGCCAGCAGCCGCGGUAAUAC